rnacentral:rRNA from 1 species
GACGAACGCUGGCGGCGUGCUUAAUACAUGCAAGUCAACUGAACUUAAGGUAGCAAUAUUUUAAGGGAUGUGGCGCACGGGUGAGUAACACGUAGGUAAUCUGCCUUUAGGACUGACAUAACUUACCGAAAGGUAGGCUAAUAUCAGAUGAUGCAGCGGCUCGACAUCGAGACAGUUGUUAAAUCUUCGGAGCCUAGAGAUGAGCCUGCGUCUGAUAGGUAGUUGGCGGAGUAAUAGCCCACCAAGCCUGCGAUCAGUAGCUGGUCUGAGAGGAUGAUCAGCCACACUGGAACUGAGACACGGUCCAGACUCCGUACGGGAGCAGCAGUAAGGAAUAUUGCUCAAUGGCCGAAAGGCUGAAGCAGCAACGCCGCGUGGAGGAU